rfam:Klebsormidium nitens mitochondrial DNA, scaffold: kfl01814, whole genome shotgun sequence.
GAGCCGGUAACUCAGUUGGUUAGAGUAUACGCCUGAUAAGCGUAAAGUCGGCUGUUCAAGUCAGCCUCGGCUCA